rnacentral:rRNA from 1 species
GGGGAAUAUUGGACAAUGGGGGAAACCCUGAUCCAGCAAUGCCGCGUGUAUGAUGAAGGUCUUCGGAUUGUAAAGUACUUUUAUAGGGGACGAUGAUGACGGUACCCUAUGAAUAAGCUCCGGCUAACUUCGUGCCAGCAGCCGCGGUAAUACGAAGGGAGCUAGCGUUGUUCGGAAUAACUGGGCGUAAAGGGAGCGUAGGUGGAUAAGUACGUUAGAUGUGAAAGCCCCGGGCUCAACCUGGGAAUGGCAUUUAAUACGGCUUAUCUAGAGUGCGAGAGGGGAAAGCGGAAUGGCGAGUGGAGCAGUGAAAUGCAUUGAUAUUCGCUAGAACACCAGAGGCGAAGGCGGCUUUCUGGCUCGUUACUGACACUAAGGCUCGAAAGCGUGGGGAGCAAAC